rnacentral:rRNA from 1 species
UACGUAGGGUGCAAGCGUUGUCCGGAAUUAUUGGGCGUAAAGGGCGCGUAGGCGGCUUCAUAAGUCAAAGGUGAAAUCCCUCGGCUCAACUGAGGAACUGCCUUUGAAACUGUGGAGCUUGAGGCCGGGAGGGGGUAGCGGAAUUCCCAGUGUAGCGGUGAAAUGCGUAGAUAUUGGGAGGAACACCAGUGGCGAAGGCGGCUACCUGGACCGGAACUGACGCUGAUGCGCGAAAGCGUGGGUAGCAAACAGG